UACGAGGGGGGCAAGCGUUGUUCGGAAUUACUGGGCGUAAAGCGCGCGUAGGCGGCUUUGCAAGUCGGGUGUGAAAUCCCCAGGCUUAACCUGGGAACUGCAUUCGAGACUGCAUUGCUAGAGUAUGGGAGAGGGAAGUGGAAUUUCCGGUGUAGCGGUGAAAUGCGUAGAUAUCGGAAGGAACAUCAGUGGCGAAAGCGACUUCCUGGACCAAUACUGACGCUCAUGUGCGAAAGCGUGGGGAGCAAACAGG
rnacentral:rRNA from 1 species